GGGAAGGAACAAAGUUUAAAGUGAACACAUUUAUGCCAGUGAGUAAAACCUCAUUCUUACAUGAUCACAGCACUUUGUGUUUUAAACAUGCUUCCAACCAUACAAAAAUUCAUCAUGACUGUGAUGACUGAUUGGCUGGGAGGUGUCAAGGAUUCUGAGUCUUGUUCAAUAAAGCUGAUGAUAUAUCUGCAGUGAAAACUGUAAAGGUGUACAGAUGAAUGAGCAGUUCUUACAACCAGGAUAAUCUGAGUGUUUUGUUUUCUACUAUAUUAACCUAAAUUCUCACUAUCCCAGAAAAGCUACUGAAUAUACUUUAUCUACUCAAUAAUAUCUGUGAGAGAAACUUAACUAGCAAUAUUCUACCAGAAAAUCUAGCAAUUGUUUUAAACUCAAACCGAGGUAUAACUAUGCUAAACCCAGAAAUCAAGAGGCAUGUUUAAUACAUCAAUCGCAUAGUACAUAUAACAGGUACAGUACAGAUGUACUGUACAGAUGCUUCAUAAUGAAAUUCCAGGACUUUCAAGGACUUUGAGCACUUUUUUUCUUUCAAGGACUAUACAAGAGAUGUCAUUCAAACAUAUCCUUCAUUUCCAAAAAAAUAUUAAUAACAAUAAUAAUAAUAAUAAUAAUAAUAAUAAUAAUAAUAAUAAUAAAUAUAUAUAUUUUUUUAAACAACCAUUUUAAUAUAGCCCCUUUUCCCAGCCGUGAUGGACUAAAUUUGUAUUUCCCAGUCAUUGCUUCAUUUUCACCAUAAUUUCACCAUUGCAUCGUAUUUUCACUCUGCCUAGAGUCAGCCCUUUAUAAUACAUCCUACUCUCUGUGCUCACAUGCUGAAUUUUAAUACAGCCGAAUUCCCAAUAAAGCUGUUCUCAUUUACAUAUUUUUUCUGUUUCUGAAAGCAGGACCUCGCACUCACCAGGCAGUACUGGCCAUUCUCUUCUACGGAAAGUAGCUAAGAUAUAUUUCUGCCACCUGUAAGUCAGAAUGACAAAAUUCUUGACAGUGAUAUCACUCAGUCCAACGGAUCUGACGCACUGAAGGCUGGACAUUGGCAGAUAUCAUCUAUGAUGAAAAAGCCUCCCUUGCGAGACGAGAAUCUUCACCAUCUGAAUCAUGAGUAAGUUAUAUUUUCCUGUAUAUCUAGUUUAUAUUUUAUUUUCAGAUUUACUCUAUAUCUCUUAUUA